GGUUAAGCGACUAAGCGUACACGGUGGAUGCCCUGGCAGUCAGAGGCGAUGAAGGACGUGCUAAUCUGCGAUAAGCGUCGGUGAGGUGAUAUGAACCGUUAUAACCGGCGAUUUCCGAAUGGGGAAACCCAGUGUGUUUCGACACACUAUCAUUAACUGAAUCCAUAGGUUAAUGAGGCGAACCGGGGGAACUGAAACAUCUAAGUACCCCGAGGAAAAGAAAUCAACCGAGAUUCCCCCAGUAGCGGCGAGCGAACGGGGAGCAGCCCAGAGCCUGAAUCAGUGUGUGUGUUAGUGGAAGCGUCUGGAAAGGCGCGCGAUACAGGGUGACAGCCCCGUACACAAAAAUGCACAUGCUGUGAGCUCGAUGAGUAGGGCGGGACACGUGGUAUCCUGUCUGAAUAUGGGGGGACCAUCCUCCAAGGCUAAAUACUCCUGACUGACCGAUAGUGAACCAGUACCGUGAGGGAAAGGCGAAAAGAACCCCGGCGAGGGGAGUGAAAAAGAACCUGAAACCGUGUACGUACAAGCAGUGGGAGCCUCUUUAUGGGGUGACUGCGUACCUUUUGUAUAAUGGGUCAGCGACUUAUAUUCUGUAGCAAGGUUAACCGAAUAGGGGAGCCGAAGGGAAACCGAGUCUUAACUGGGCGUUAAGUUGCAGGGUAUAGACCCGAAACCCGGUGAUCUAGCCAUGGGCAGGUUGAAGGUUGGGUAACACUAACUGGAGGACCGAACCGACUAAUGUUGAAAAAUUAGCGGAUGACUUGUGGCUGGGGGUGAAAGGCCAAUCAAACCGGGAGAUAGCUGGUUCUCCCCGAAAGCUAUUUAGGUAGCGCCUCGUGAAUUCAUCUCCGGGGGUAGAGCACUGUUUCGGCAAGGGGGUCAUCCCGACUUACCAACCCGAUGCAAACUGCGAAUACCGGAGAAUGUUAUCACGGGAGACACACGGCGGGUGCUAACGUCCGUCGUGAAGAGGGAAACAACCCAGACCGCCAGCUAAGGUCCCAAAGUCAUGGUUAAGUGGGAAACGAUGUGGGAAGGCCCAGACAGCCAGGAUGUUGGCUUAGAAGCAGCCAUCAUUUAAAGAAAGCGUAAUAGCUCACUGGUCGAGUCGGCCUGCGCGGAAGAUGUAACGGGGCUAAACCAUGCACCGAAGCUGCGGCAGCGACGCUUAUGCGUUGUUGGGUAGGGGAGCGUUCUGUAAGCCUGCGAAGGUGUGCUGUGAGGUAUGCUGGAGGUAUCAGAAGUGCGAAUGCUGACAUAAGUAACGAUAAAGCGGGUGAAAAGCCCGCUCGCCGGAAGACCAAGGGUUCCUGUCCAACGUUAAUCG
rnacentral:rRNA from 1 species